UACGGGGGGAGCAAGCGUUGUUCGGAUUUACUGGGCGUAAAGGGCGCGUAGGCGGCCAGCGCAAGUCGGUUGUGAAAUCUCCGGGCUUAACUCGGAAAGGUCAACUGGUACUGCGCGGCUAGAGUGCAGAAGGGGCAACUGGAAUUCUCGGUGUAGCGGUGAAAUGCGCAGAUAUCGGGAGGAACACCUAUGGCGAAGGCAGCUCGCUGGGACGUUACUGACGCUGAGACGCGAAAGCGUGGGGAGCAAACAGG
rnacentral:rRNA from 1 species